GAACGUGGAAGCAAGAUGUCGGUUCGCUUUCGGUGUCUUGCGAAGUUCUAUGGAGGGUUGUGUGAUAACCACAUAGCGAAUAAGUCUUGGACUGAAAGAAAACACACUAU
ncrna:unclassified sequences drum RNA